CAGUAGCCGCGGUAAAACGAAGGGGGCUAGCGUUGUUCGGAUUUACUGGGCGUAAAGCGCACGUAGGCGGAUCCUUAAGUCAGAGGUGAAAUCCCAAGGCUCAACCUUGGAACUGCCUUUGAUACUGGGGAUCUCGAGUUCGGGAGAGGUGAGUGGAACUGCGAGUGUAGAGGUGAAAUUCGUAGAUAUUCGCAAGAACACCAGUGGCGAAGGCGGCUCACUGGCCCGAUACUGACGCUGAGGUGCGAAAGCGUGGGGAGCAAACAGGAUUAGAUACCCCUGUAGUCCCUGUCUCUUAUAC
rnacentral:rRNA from 1 species